rnacentral:lncRNA from 1 species
GGGUUUUGCGAGCGAUGGCUAUGGCGCACCUCGCCAAGAAAGUGCCAUUCCUCUGCCGGCGGUCAAGAAGGGCAUUUUUCACACAAAUUUUCCAAAGGACGCAGGGUAUCACUUCCGGAUUUGCGCUCUUCCAGGUCUGUUUCUAGAGUUCAUCUAUCAAGAUCAACCAUGGUGUGAGUUCUUGCGCGACGCUUCGAUCGCUUCUUUCUAGAAUUUUAUUUUUUCUUCUCAGACAUUUUCGCGGCUUUUCAGGUGUUUUCGAGUUCGAUCGGACAAUUUCUUGGAGGAAGUUGCUCUUCAUGCAAGUUCUUCGAGGAGCAUUUGGAGCGAUCUUUCUCUAGAACUGUGCAGCGGUCGUGAAGGUUUGUCCGAAUUUCCAAUUUUGCGGCACUGCGUCGAGAGCUAUCCUACUCUCGCCAUCGCUGGUACUCACAACGAAAGACAGGCCUUGCUCUAGCAUCGACCGGUUGGAAAUAUGCCAGUUCUGGCCCCAAGCGCGAGUCGCCGGCGUCCACGGAGAUCGUGAUCCUUUGACAACCACGCUCCGGAC